ACCUCCACCCGGGCGAGUUGUACCCUGCUGCUGUGUAGAGGCUUGGUACUAUACAGCGGCUCCGACUUUCGUGUCAUCAGAACAUCUCUUGAGAGAACGAGAGAACUAAUGGAUAGCGCACGUGGACCUUCGGGAAGCCACAGCUGGAAAUCAUCGACUGAACUUGGAAGUGGAAUUGUAGCUUCAGUUAAGGGUGAUAAGAUAACGCACGUUCCUCACAAGGUAGCGUCGGUUGUGCAGAGACCAGGGAAGGUGUUUACGCAGCAUGAAACAACCAGAAGACCGACAGUUUCAAUGGCGUCAGCCUCUGCGGGAUUAGGCGGCGCCAUUAAUAUGAUUGACACAGCGGACAGAGCAGCCGAUGCUUAUACGGAAGACACUUAUGCUAAAAGUGGAACGUAUGCAUACGGAGGUGAAAACGAGCCUGGGAAGCGCAUCCCGAAGGCUGGAGCUUUCGCCGAAGCUGGCCUUGGCCUGGCUAGGGCUGAGUACAGUGUGUUUGAUGCGGAAGCCAGAGGCCCCAAUGCUUUUGCUGUUGCUGAAGCCAGUGCGACAGGAGUGCGGGCGAUGGCCGGAGCCUCUGUAGGAAGCGCUUCUGCCAGUGCUGGCCCCGUUCAUCUCAAGCUGGGCCUCGGAGUGGAAACUGGGGUAGCUGCAGGAGCGGAAGGGCUGGAAGUGAAGUUACUGGGCACAGGGUUCAGAAUUGGACCUUCACCGAGUAUUUCUUUCUUCGGAUCUGAAAUCUCGCUCGGAUAAACAGUUACUGUAGGUCGUUCGGACCGAGGAAUUUCAAUAAACAAGACGUGUUCUUAAGGGUCAUAUA